UAGUCCGCGCCGUAAACGAUGUCGACUUGGAGGUUGUGCCCUUGAGGCGUGGCUUCCGGAGCUAACGCGUUAAGUCGACCGCCUGGGGAGUACGGCCGCAAGGUUAAAACUCAAAUGAAUUGACGGGGGCCCGCACAAGCGGUGGAGCAUGUGGUUUAAUUCGAUGCAACGCGAAGAACCUUACCUGGUCUUGACAUCCACGGAAGGUCUCAGAGAUGAGACUGUGCCUUUCGGGAGCCGUGAGACAGGUGCUGCAUGGCUGUCGUCAGCUCGUGUUGUGAAAUGUUGGGUUAAGUCCCGCAACGAGCGCAACCCUUAUCCUUUGUUGCCAGCGGUUAGGCCGGGAACUCAAAGGAGACUGCCAGUGAUAAACUGGAGGAAGGUGGGGAUGACGUCAAGUCAUCAUGGCCCUUACGGACCAGGGGCUACACACGUGCUACAAUGGCAUAUACAAAGAGAAGCGA
rnacentral:rRNA from 1 species